UGGGGAAUAUUGCACAAUGGGCGCAAGCCUGAUGCAGCCAUGCCGCGUGUGUGAAGAAGGCCUUCGGGUUGUAAAGCACUUUCAGCGAGGAGGAAGGUGGUGAGCUUAAUACGCUCAUCAAUUGACGUUACUCGCAGAAGAAGCACCGGCUAACUCCGUGCCAGCAGCCGCGGUAAUACGGAGGGUGCAAGCGUUAAUCGGAAUUACUGGGCGUAAAGCGCACGCAGGCGGUUUGUUAAGUCAGAUGUGAAAUCCCCGGGCUCAACCUGGGAACUGCAUUUGAAACUGGCAAGCUAGAGUCUCGUAGAGAGGGGUAGAAUUCCAGGUGUAGCGGUGAAAUGCGUAGAGAUCUGGAGGAAUACCGGUGGCGAAGGCGGCCCCCCUGGACGAAGACUGACGCUCAGGUGCGAAAGCGUGGGGCAGCAAACAGGAUUAGAUACCCUGGUAGUCCACGCUGUAAACGAUGUCGAUUUGGAGGUUGUGCCCUUGAGGCGAGGCUUCCGGAGCUAACGCGUUAAAUCGACCGCCUGGGGAGUACGGCCGCAAGGUUAAAACUCAAAGGUAAUU
rnacentral:rRNA from 1 species